GUUGGUUUUGAGGUCAUACACAGAUGGGUUUGUGGGCAAAGGGUGAGGACAACUUCAUAGAUCAGACGUCAUCUGAGCUGGGUUAUGGAGCUAAAUAGGAAGCAUUCUUGUGAAUAAGUCAAGAAACAACAUUACAGAAGAAUGUUCACAUUGCGGAGGUUUGAAACCACUGGGGAAGAGCUGGGUCUUUUUGCAGCUUAACUACCUCCUAUCCCUCUGUGUCCCUCCACUUCUUCCUCUGUGCCCUCAGGGGAUUGUCUUUACAUAGGCAUUGCACAGCCCUUGCCUUUCCUAAGAUUUAGAAUCAGUCAAUGGGAGGCACUAGGCAUCCAAAGCACACUGGAAAAGAGAAAAUUAAGGCCAGGGAUGCAGUCCUUCGACUUUUUUCCUGUCACAUUACUUCAGGUUGGCUUUGUCACGUGACCAAAACAGCUCUCACUGAGCAGCCUUAAAUCUCUUUAUCCUGGUAAUGGUUCCUUCCUCUUUUCCCUUAGGCUCAGGAGGGUAAUUAAUAGCUCCUCCUUGAUGUUAGCCCCAGGGGACUGCAACUUCACUUUCUGGUUUCCUUUCACCCUGUCCAUAUUUGAACAGAAUAGUCUUUUUGUAAAACUUUCCUUUGUUACUCUCAGUUAAGUAUACCAUUUAUAUUCUGAUGAGACCCCCCAUUGAAAUAUUUACGUAACAUCACAACUAAAGAAAAAUCAAAAAUUCAUUCUGUGUAAUGUCUGGCCAGUCCCCCAAACCCAGGUUUAACUGAUUUGAUUUUUUUUCUAUUCUUUCUUCCCUCCUUUCCCAUUGAGAUGAAUGGACAUUUGAUAUUACCAAGAAUAUGCAUAAUGACUUGGAAGUUACCAUUUGAACAAUUGACAUUCUUGAGUAAAGUAAGAAUACACCAGAAAAAGGGAAGCAACCUGUUAAC
rnacentral:lncRNA from 1 species